rnacentral:rRNA from 1 species
AAUGAACGCUGGCGGCAUGCCUAAUACAUGCAAGUCGAACGAACGCACAGUAAGCUUUCGCCUCUAAUGUUGGCGGGUGGCGGAUGGGUAACACGUAGAUCAGCAACCUCUAAUUCUUGGGUGACUUCGUGGGGCCAUAGCUAAUAAUAUCUCAUAUUUUGAACCGCAUGGUGCAGAAGUUAUAGGCGGUCUUGCUGUCACUAAUAGCUGAUGUCGGAUUAGCUAGUUGGUGAGGUAAAGGCCUACCAAGGCAACGAUGCGUAGCAGAUCUGAGAGGAUGAUCGGCCACACUGGAACUGAGACACGGUCCAGACUCCUACGGGAGGCAGCAGUGGGGAAUCUUGGACAAUGGGCGAAAGCCUGAUCCAGCAAUGCCGCGUGAGUGAAGAAGGUCUUCGGAUCGUAAAACUCUGUUAUUAGGGAAGAAAAGAUGCGUAAUUAACUGUGCAUAUUCUGACGGUACCUAAUCAGAAAGCCCCGGCUAACUACGUG